rnacentral:tRNA from 1 species
AAUGAAGUGCCUGAGUUAAAAGGGUUAUCUUGAUAGGAUAAAAUAUGCAGAAAUUCUGCCUUCAUUA